ACGGAGGAUGCGAGCGUUAUCCGGAUUCAUUGGGUUUAAAGGGUGCGUAGGCGGCUUAUUAAGUCAGUGGUGAAAUCCUGCGGCUCAACCGUAGAACUGCCAUUGAUACUGAUAAGCUUGAAUAUAGUUGAGGUAGGCGGAAUGAGUAGUGUAGCGGUGAAAUGCUUAGAUAUUACUCAGAACACCGAUUGCGAAGGCAGCUUACUAAACUAUUAUUGACGCUGAUGCACGAAAGCGUGGGGAGCGAACAGG
rnacentral:rRNA from 1 species